AAGGAAAUGACUGUCCCGCCCAACUAAGGGGGUUCCUUAACAGGAAAGGACGGUCCCUCCCCACUCAGGGGGUUCCUUACAAGGAAAUGACUGUCCUGCCCAACUAAGGGGGUUCCUUAACAGGAAAGGAAGGUACCUCCCCACACAGGGGCUUCCUUAAAGGGAAAGGACAGUCCCACCCCACUCAGGGGGUUCCUUACAAGGAAAUAACGGUCCCGCCCAACUCAGGGGCUUCCUAAAAGGAAAGGACGGUCCCUCCCCACUCAGGGGGUUCCUUACAAGGAAAUAACUGUCCCGCCCAACUCAGGGGGUUCCUUAACAGGAAAGGACGGUCCCUCCACACUCAGGUGCUUCCUUACAAGGAAAUAACUGUCCCGCCCAACUAAGGGGGUUCCUUAACAGGAAAGGAAGGUAUCUCCCCACACAGGGGCUUCCUUAAAGGGAAAGGACAGUCCCUCCCCACUCAGGGGGUUCC